rnacentral:rRNA from 1 species
AUUGAACGCUGGCGGCAGGCCUAACACAUGCAAGUCGAGCGGAGCGGCGGACGGGUGAGUAAUGCCUAGGAAUCUGCCUGGUAGUGGGGGAUAACGUCCGGAAACGGUAGCUAAUACCGCAUACUAUCGGAUGUGCCUAGGUGGGAUUAGCUAGUUGGUGGGGUAAAGGCCCACCUAGGCGACGAUCCGUAACUGGUCUGAGAGGAUGACCAGCCACACUGGACAUGAGAAACGGUCCAGACGCCUACGGGAGGCAGCAGUGGGGAAUAUUGCACAAUGGGCGCAAGCCUGAUUCAGCCAUGCCGGGUGUGUGAAGAAGGCCUUCGGGUUGUAAAGUACUUUCAGCUGGGAGGCGUUACCCGCAGAAGAAGCACCGGCUAACUCCGUGCCAGCAGCCGCGGUAAUAC